ensembl:lncRNA
AAGAAAACGAAGAGGAAAAUAGUUGCUAGAUGGGCAAUCAGCGCCAUCUGCCACAGUACAGAAAAGACCUGGGAUUUCCAGUUUGGGACAAAAUGGAAUAGACUCCUCUCUCUCUGCUCCUCCCCACUAAGAAACCUGGAAAUAACACAGCAGGUAAUCACAGGAAGACUCUGAAAUGUGGAAAGAGGACAGAUCGGCCAGAGAGCCCGGGACUCGAGGAAAAGACAGUGGCCUGGCAUCUCCCCCCAUGAAAAGAACCAAGGAAGGAGGCCAGGGUAGCACAUUCUGACCUCAGAGGCAGCACCAGCAGGCAUUAAGAGGGAGCCUUGCUGGCAUCUGGCGACCAAGGGAGAAAGUUUCUACCCUCAGACCCAACCUCUCCCACUCCCCACCUAAAGUCACUAGGCCCAAGAAGCUCCUCUCUCCCACUCCACGUGGCAGAAGCAGAAAUCAAACAAGAGACCCAAUGGCACCAAGUAAAGGAAGCAGACCAGAAGACAGCUCUGAAAAUUAAAUUGUAUCGGAAACACAGCCCACAAAAGUAGACCAGGACCUUUAUGCUAAGCCUAAGGAGGGCAACUGCUUGCUAAAACAGAAGAUUUAAAUAGAAUGCAGAAUCUCCUAAUAGCCCAAACUUUGAUGAUCCAACCAAAAAUCACCUGACGUACCAAAAACAGAAAAAAAUCUCAACUUGAAAGAGAAAAGACAGUCAAAAGACAGCGAGAUGAAUCAGCUGUUGGAAUUAUUUGACACUGAUUUAAAGCAGUCAUAAUAAAAAAUCAGAACAUUGUAAGAACUCUUGAAACAAUUUAAAAAAUAGAAAUAUCACUGUAGGGGAGAAAGACAUUUCCUCUUCCCAAAUGUGGGUUCAUCUGGCCGGAGAACGAAUUAAAUUCACAUGAGACAGAAUAGCAAGAGAAAAUUAAACAAAGAUUUAUGAGGAAUCAUGGCCCGGGGCCUUUCUUCCCGAAGGAAGAAAGGGCACCGAAGAAGUGGGGUGCACAGAGUAGUUAUAUACCCCCAAACAGGGUGUUUCACAUGUGAUUGAAAUGUCCCUCCCACAAUAGUCACAAGAUUGCCCUGUCAGCACAGCGCUUGAUGGACACAGCAAGUAGUGGUCUGCUAUCUCCGUGGGCGUAGCAGGAGGGUAGUCGAUUGUCUGGAGCUGGGCGGUCACAGGUGAGCACAGCAGUCAGUUCCUAGCUUAAGGAAAGAUGCUUAAUCCUUAAGAAAUGCCAACGUUGGGAGGGGGAGGGAAGUCAGUUACAGGAGGUUACCAGAGAAGCACAAUAAACAAAUGCAGAUUUAAGUCCUUGCCUUUGGUAUUGAUUAAGAGUUUCUAGAGAGAAGGUCAUCUCCUUUCUUCUUCCUGGUACAGAGAGGGAGGCACAUUUUACAGAUAGAGAUUUACCUUACAAAUGUAAAUGUGUCCUAACAAAGGGCAAGUUCCAUUCCUCAGAGCCUCCUUCCCUGUCUCAGUUUAUCAAAAGCAAUCAGCCUCAAAUAAUCCUGAUACCAAAGAGACAUAUCUUGGGGUGGCCAUUUCCAGGUCCCCUACAUCACCAAAGAAAUAAAAGAUAUAAAAAAGAAGAAAAAAAACAGAACUGAAAAUUAUAAUAACCAAAAUAAACUUUCACCACACUUAUUUAACAUAGUAUUAGAAAUUCUAGCCAGCAUAAGAAAGCAAGGAGAAGAAACAAAAAGCAUACAGAUUGGAAAGGAAGAAGUAAAGCUGUCCUUAUUUGCAGAUGACAUGACAUGAUUGUCUACAUAGAAUAUACCAAGGAAUCUACAAAAAGAGCUUCUAGAAGUAAUGAACAAGUUCAGCAAGGUUGUAGGAUCCAAGAUCAACACAUAAAAAUCAACUGCUUUUCUACAUCUAGCACUGAAAAUAUUGCGAAC